rnacentral:rRNA from 1 species
CACGGGUGAGUAACGCGUGGAUAAUCUACCCUUCAGUUGGGAAUAACUUAUCGAAAGGUGAGCUAAUACCGAAUAAAACUGCCUGACCACGGUCGGGUAGUCAAAGAUAGCCUCUGCUUGCAAGCUUUCGCUGAAUGAUGAGUCCGCGUACCAUUAGCUAGUUGGUGGGGUAAUGGCCUACCAAGGCGACGAUGGUUAGCUGGUCUGAGAGGAUGAUCAGCCACACUGGAACUGAGACACGGUCCAGACUCCUACGGGAGGCAGCAGUGAGGAAUCUUGCGCAAUGGGGGAAACCCUGACGCAGCAACGCCGCGUGAGUGAGGAAGGUCUUCGGAUCGUAAAGCUCUGUCGGGUGGAAAGAAAUGUAUGGGGUUAAUAGCCUUCAUACUUGACGGUACCACCAAAGGAAGCACCGGCUAACUCCGUGCCAGCAGCCGCGGUAAUACGGGGGGUGCAAGCGUUGUUCGGAAUUAUUGGGCGUAAAGAGCGUGUAGGCGGCUUGGUAAGUCAGAUGUGAAAGCCCCGGGCUUAACCCGGGAAGUGCAUUUGAAACUGCCUGGCUAGAGUAGGGGAGAGGGAAGUGGAAUUCCUGGUGUAGAGGUGAAAUUCGUAGAUAUCAGGAGGAACACCGGUGGCGAAGGCGACUUCCUGGCCCUAUACUGACGCUGAGACGCGAGAGCGUGGGUAGCAAACAGGAUUAGAUACCCUGGUAGUCCACGCCGUAAACGAUGUUCACUAGGUGUUGGGGGUAUUGACCCUCUCAGUGCCGGAGCUAACGCAUUAAGUGAACCGCCUGGGGAGUACGAUGCAAGAUGAACUCAAAGAUUGACGGGCCCGUAAAG